CACCGGCAGCUCUAGUGGUAACAAUUUUUAUUGGGCCCUAAAGCGUCCGUAGCCGGUUUAAUAAGUCUCUGGUGAAAUCCUGUAGCUUAACUGUGGGAAUUGCUGGAGAUACUAUUAGACUUGAGACCGGGAGAGGUUAGAGGUACUCCCAGGGUAGAGGUGAAAUUCUGUAAUCCUGGGAGGACCGCCUGUUGCGAAGGCGUCUAACUGGAACGGUUCUGACGGUGAGGGACGAAAGUUAGGGGCGCGAACCGGAUUAGAUACCCUGGUAGUCCCUGAGCGGGCUGGCAAGG
rnacentral:rRNA from 1 species